rnacentral:lncRNA from 1 species
AUUUGCAUAGGGAAUAGCUACCCCGAGGAAUUUAAUCAACAACCCGGGCCAGUGCUCCCCAUGAGUGUUGGUCCCACCUGAGCGAUGUCCGGGGCCCCACUGGUCACCCAGAGGUUUAGCCAUCCCGACGUCUAGCUCAUCUGUCGUGUCCUGAGACUGAGAUACGCGGCUCUUAUCAGGGUCGUCGACACGACGGGAGGUCCUGCUAGCCUUGUCUUGCCUUAGCGGUAUAUCUUGCGUAUAGGAAUCCCGGUGAGGCUUUGGUUUUCCCCAGAGUUGAGGUUUUCCUCUAAGGAAUCCGACGAGAUCACGAGAUUCGUGAUAGAGGAUGACUUUGCAGCCUGUGUUCGUUUGUGAUGGACUAGUUGGAGCACCCCUGCAGGGUUUAAUCUUUCGGAAAGCCGUGCCCCCGGUUAUGUGGCAACUUGGAAUAUUUUGUUAACAUCCGGUAUUAGAAAACUUAAACAAAAACUAAUAAAAUAUGCCAACUGUGUGAGUAACCGUGACUGUCCCUUCGAAGAUCUCUCUUCGAUCGGGAACACGGUGGGGUUAUGAAUGCCGUAGGUAGGUGUUCAGGAUCACUUUCUGAUCAAGUAACCACGAUCGUUAGUAUAGAACACUGUCACUUCUCUUUCGCGUAAGCUAGCCACUUGUUCAAUCUUAGGAUGCAACAACCUGAAACACUUCACCCCUUCCUUACCCAAUAACAUGACUAGUUCUGGCACCAAGGUCUUAGAUUGCUGAGUCCCCGUGGCUCACGGAUUCCUCCGAAACUUCCAGCAGGUACAGGUACCCCAGAGGCAGAGGAUCCCGACGGCACCCAACUGGCGUGGCAGUACGAUGAGGAGACCGAUCGCCUUUACGUGAACUAUCCAGAAGACUGAGCCGUGGUCGUGAUCGUGGGCCUGCAGCGGGUAGCAUAGCAUUUUCCUUGUUUUGUAGUCCGUACCGGAACUACCUUGUUUGUAUCUGCGUUGUACUCUAUUUUUUUUAAUAAGAAGACAGUUGAAUCCCAGAUUGUCUACUUUAU